CCAAUAGCGUAUAUUAAAGUUGUUGCAGUUAAAAAGCUCGUAGUUGAAUUUCGGGGUCAGUAGGCUGGUCAUGCCACAGGUAUGCACUGGUCUCACUGAUUCCUCCUUCCUGAUGAACCGUAAUGCCAUUAAUUUGGUGUUGCGGGGAAUCUGGACUGUUACUUUGAAAAAAUUAGAGUGUUUAAAGCAGGCUAACGCUUGAAUACAUUAGCAUGGAAUAAUGAAAUAGGACGUUCGAUCCUAUUUUGUUGGUUUCUAGGAUUGACGUAAUGAUUAAUAGGGAUAGUUGGGGGCAUUAGUAUUCAAUUGUCAGAGGUGAAAUUCUUGGAUUUAUUGAAGACUAACUACUGCGAAAGCAUUUGCCAAGGAUGUUUUCAUUAAUCAAGAACGAAAGUUAGGGGAUCGAAGACGAUCAGAUACCGUCGUAGUCUUAACCAUAAACUAUGCCGACUAGGGAUCGGAUGAUGUUAAUUUUUUAAUGACUCAUUCGGCGCCUUACG
rnacentral:rRNA from 1 species